CAGUUCGGACUGUAGUCUGNAACCCGACUACACGAAGCUGGAAUCGCUAGUAAUCGCGAAUCAGAAUGUCGCGGUGAAUACGUUCCCGGGUCUUGUACACACCGCCCGUCACACCAUGGGAGUCGGGAAUGCCCGAAGUCAGUGACCCAACCAUAUGGAGGGAGCUGCCGAAGGCAGGUCUGAUAACUGGGGUGAAGUCGUAACAAGGUAGC
rnacentral:rRNA from 1 species